UAAAACAACAAAGUACCUAUUACAGUUAUCUUGUUUCCACUGUGAAUCUUCAGAUAAUGAGUUUGAAAAAGAGAAUUGCUUUGCUUAAAUUUGAUUUCCCCAAAAUCCGCUCUGUGCCAUAUUACUAAAUAUGAGAUAUUGUCCCUUUUUGGGCCCUACAGGAAGGACGAAUGCAUAAAGAUGUUUAUAACACAUAUCUCAGUGCUAAAGAGAAUUAGACCUUAUAAACUCCUAGGUGAUGCAUGCAUUAUAAAUGGAAUAAUAUGCAGUGUCUUCUGAGCAGCACAGCAUUGCGUGCUUGCCUCCUUUUAGGAGAGGCAACCGAAAGAGGUCAAACGUGACAUCAGGGGAAGGCAAGUGAAGCACCACUCUGCACUUUGAAGGAAAGGAGAGAGGACUUUCUCUUGGGACUGAUUUUAAAGGGCAGUUUUUUAUCUAUGUGAUCUAACUCUACAUUCAUUUUAUACUGUAUGUUUCAACUUAGGGGUGGUUUUUCUUUCUAGAAUUGUAUUUGGUUGUUUUUCUGAGUACAAAGCUGUGGUAUGUCACUAGCAAUUAUGUGUCUGGUCCGUCUUUAAAGGUAACAAAGGUUCUGUGAAUAUAUUUGGUUUGUCAGUUACAUUUUUUAAAAAAAAGAGUUUUCAAAUAAGAAAAAAUAAAAUGACAAGACCUCGAGGGAAAUUAAAAGGAGAGAAUUUAAAAACAAACAAACAAACAAUUAAAAAAUAUUUUAAAAAGCACAAAUUAAAUUAAAAUAUUAAUAGUGAAACCUGACAGAAAUAUUCACAGACGAAACUGGGUGGAACUAAUCUGCAAUCCGAGUGCUGCCAGGAGCAACACCAUUUAAAAAGUGCCAUGUAAGGUCACAUUUAAAGCAGUAUGGGGCUAACAAGCACUGUGCUUAUAAACAAUACAUUAGGACAAAAAGCUGCUUCUAGACAAUAUUAUCAUCUGCGUUAGGGCAAAACACAUUCACAUAGAAAGUCUGUAGGAUGCUGUGUGCCAAAAUAAUCUGCGAGACAAUUUUCUGGCUCCGGACUGCUGCCAUCAGUUUGAGGACAGUUUAUGUUAUCUUGGGGAUUAGUAGUACAUUCAUAUGCAGCUCUGUAAUCUG
ensembl:lncRNA